AUUGGAACGCUGGCGGCAGGCCUAACACAUGCAAGUCGAGCGGAUGAACGGGAGCUGAAUCCCUGAUUCAGCGGCGGACGGGUGAGUAAUGCCUAGGAAUACUGCCUGGUAGUGGGGACCCAACGUUCCGAUAAUGGAGCGCUAAUACCGCAUACGUCCUACGGGAGAAUUAGUGRGGGAUCUCGGACCUCACGCUAUCAGAUGAGCCUAGGUCGGAUUAGCUAGUAGGUGGGGUAAUGGCUCACCUAGGCGACGAUCCGUAGCACUGGUCUGAGAGGAUGAUCAGUCACACGGGAACUGAGACACGGUCCCAGAUCCURCGGGAGGCAGRAGUGGGGAAUAUUGGACRAUGGGCGAAAGCCUGAUCCAGCCAUGCCGCSUCACACAGAAGGUCUUCKGAUUGUAAAGCACUUUAAGUUGGGAAGAAGGCAGGAAGAUAUACCUUGCUGUUUGACGUUACCA
rnacentral:rRNA from 1 species